CAGAAACUAAGUUUCCGUCUCGGUACACUAGAGCCUGAAACAAGACACCCGGCAUCCUUGAGUACGUGAAACAAGAUACCUCCGAAUGUGUCACCAUUUGUUUUUCCACCCUAAAUGCAAAUGCAAGCUGCACCGUCGCGAAUAUCCUGAUGAUCAGCACCAGCACCAUUGACCAUGCCAGAACCAGGAACGCCACUACCUCCUCCACCUUUUCCACCGACACCACCGGCUGGAGUUUGCGCCCUUCUACCUUGUUGUUAUCAGAAAUUGGUACACCGAUAAUUGUACAGCACGGAGGAGCUCUGAUUAAUCCAGAGCAGAGUUUGUUCAUUGCGAGGCUUUAGCAAGCUGGACAUUGUUUGCAAGCGGUGGACGACACGCUGAAGAUUUAUCGAGCGUGCUAGUCUCUUUCGAGCUUUACGAUAAAAUUUCAUGCACGAACUACGACCGAUAUGCCGAAGAAAAAGAGGAACGAGAUGAGGAGGUAAGGGGGAGAAGGAGUGACAAAGAAGAGAGGAAAAAUUGGAUCAAACGGCCGGUUGAAGGGCUCACAGCCGAACGGAUAUGCGUCUUUCCGUUUGCCAAUCGUCCAUUCUUCGCUUCUCAAGAGCUACUCGUGAAGUUCCCAUUCGUCCCUUCUUCGAUAUCUCUCUUCUCUCUUAUCCAUCCUUUGUUACAUUGGAUUUUGGACGAUUCAAGGGGAUAAAAAUGGUUCUGUCUAAGGGAUAAAAAACCGUUCGGUCGAUCGUUUUCCAUCCCGUAAUUAUGUUCGAAGCAGCAACAUACAUAUAUCAAUUUUUCAGGAUUUGUUUGUUUAUUUUCGCGAAAUAUGCAUAUUUGAUAUGAAGUACAUACAUAUCCGUUUUAAAUAUAUCUGAAAAUACAAAUAUGUUUCCGUAGAUAGCCAAUCGAAAUGGUCGAAUAUAUGAUAUUGAAUCGUGACUAAAUGUUUAUGAAUUCGGAAAAAAAUAUUUCAGUUUGUAGUAAACUUUUCGGAUUAAAUAUGAAGAUUUAGCUCAACUUCAAUUCAAAGGGAACACGAUAUUUUUCUUGUCCUUUUUCUUUUGAUUUUAUCAUUAGUUCUUCCUCAGAUAUGUUUUUAUCAUUUAUCGUGAAACGAUAAAAUAUCAAUUCGAGAAUAUUAAUAUCGAGUUUCUUAAGUUCUUUUCUUACGAGCGAUUUUUCAAAUAUUAUUCCCUACUAAGAAAUAUUACUUC